CAGACAGAGUCUUAAGUUCCCACAAUGGAAUUUGAGCCCCUGCAUCUGAGACGGGAGAAUUCCCUUAAUCCCCUUGCAGGACUUGCAACAGGGGUGGCUCGUUUACUCAGCUCAAUUCCCUUGGAGGAGUGGGGGGCACACAGUCCACAUAUUUUUACUUAUCAGACUGAAGAAGGAAGGAGCUCACCCUCUGGAAGUAUUGUACUACUUAAGACCACCUCAGACCCCCUUCAAAAUACAUCGAUGUCCAGCCAAUCAGAGCCCUACAACAUCGUUUCCAUGUGAGGAAUGGCUAGUUAAAAGCACCCCAGUCUUCUGUCUUACAUACAGAGUUCUCUUGUCUGCCAACAUGAAUGGUUGCUAUCAUUACAUCAGCCUCCAGUGACUUCAAUACAUGAAUGGCUAGCUUACGGUCCAAGAGUGGAUGGGCUUUUCUGUCUUUUUUCAGAGGCAUCUGCCAACCAAUGGGAACAGGCAGACAAAGCUAUCUUUAAGUAUUCUGCCCCAUGCAAUGAAUAGGCAAUGCCUAAAGAGCAGCUCAAGAUGAGGCUGUGAGAACAUGAAGGAUACCCAUAGACAUCUGAA
rnacentral:lncRNA from 10 species